UUUUAUUGAAUCUCAUUUUAUUUAGUCAAUUUAAUAAUAGAUUAUCUAAAAAAGUGCCUCUCUCAUUAAAAAAUUGUAAAAAAUUUGGUGUUUUUAAUCUAGGUGAAAAUAAGUUUUCAGGAGCUAUAUCAAAUUUAGUAAUAAAUAGUAGGUAUAUGCCUUUAAAAUUAGAACUUAUGGUUGUCAAAACAAUACAUAUUACAUUAAAAUAAUAUUCUAAACACUUUACAAGUUCUAACCAUUCUAAAUUGUCCCACCCAAUUUGAUAUAACUCCUGAAAACUUAUUUUCACCUAAAUUAAGAAUACGAAAUUUUUCACAAUUUUUAAAUGAGAGAGGCAUUUUUUAGAUAAUCUAUUAUUAAAUAGACUAAAUAAAAUGAGGUUGGACAAAAUACUUAUUGAGUGAAAAAUUUGGCCUUUAAAAUUAUUGUCGUUCAAGUUAAUAUAUUGUAAUGAUUUCCAAUGAAUCUAACAAUUCGAAACCUCCUCUGAUAAAAGAUUAAUAGAGAAAUCCAAAUAUUUCAAAUUAUUUUUUUCUUUGUCUUGUGACAUAAAAAAUGAGAAAUUGACCCAGACAAAGAGUUGUUAAAUAAAUCUAAAAGAGUGAUAUUUGGUAAUAUUCGUGGCACAUUACCUAUUAAAUUAUUGCCAUCCAGCGAUAAUACUUUGGAAUUAAGCAACACAUUCGAAAUGUUGUCAUUGAUUGAAUUGUUAUGUAAAAAAAGAUGCUGAACUUGAUCAGAAACAAACUUCAAGAACUUUUUAAUUAGUUCCAAUGAAAUUCUUGAGUUCAUAAUAGUUAAAAGUGGCAGAGAAUUUUGUGUAUAUAUCCAUGAAAGAAGUUUGGAGCUCAUAGCAUCUAACAUCAGAAUUUGAAGUUGAAAAGGAGAGAUCCAUUAAGAAUCAAAGUCAAAGAUCAAUGAUUGUUGAGUUCACUUGUUAGGUGGAGGUUUCGAGCCCUCUUGCUCAUCACGGAUGUCACGGAGGACCGUGCCAACGUUUAAGUGUGGGGAGGUCGGUAACCGUCUUUCGUAAGUAAUAACUCUUCUCUCUAACACCUAGAUCUUAAUUUCUUGUGUUAGUUAAUUAUGAUAAUUUACAUUUUGUAGUUAGUUGUUUGCAUUUAAGUGUCUAGAAUUCAUUUUUAAGUGCUUUUUGCAUGAUAUAUAGUUGCUUAUAAAUAUCUCUAGAGCUUUGUACAUAUUUUGUUUAUCCUUGUUGAGUGAUUGGAUGUAUAUGAAUUAGAUGAAUUAUUUUUCAUCAAACCACUUCUUAUUAGGACUACUUGGUUGAAGUAAUGAGUUUCUUUCUAAGAAAAUUAUUUUAGGGCAUUUCACUAAUUUGAAUUAAAAUUUUUAUUGAACUUGCUUGAAGAAAUCAAUUUUGAAACAUGGUUUAGAGCCAAAACAUAUAAAUCUAGUAAAAUUUUGAGUCUAAUUGAUUGGUUGCAUUUCUUCAACCAAUAUUUUAUUUCGCUGUGUGUUGUUCUAUCUAAAAUUGUGAUCUUUGACUUGCUUGAUUCUAUAUAUCCAUUGUUUAAUGUAUGAAUGUAUUUAUGUGAUUGAGGCCUUUGUUUCACUAAAGUUCACAUACCCAAAAUGGCCCUACCCCUUUUAUCAACCCUUGUAAACCAAUGUUGAGCCUAUUUAAUUCCCUUUGUUCUUUAUUUUAGCACAUCACUAACUCUAAGCUAAGUGAAAAAUAAUAAAUACCCUUCAUUUGAAUCUUUGGUUAACUUAGACUAAUGAGAGUGUGCAUGAUCUAAGUGUGGAAAAAUUGGAGUUGAGAACAUUUGGGUGGGUGAAUUGGGUAUUUUAUAAUUCUUGUUGAAAGUUUUGAAAAAUUGGAUACAUAUUCAUGUAUUCAAUACUUAAAUCAUAUGCAUUAUUCUCUUAUGUAUAUAAUAAUAAUAAAAAGAAAUCAAUAAAUGAAAAAAAAGAAAAGAAAAAAAAAGAGGACAAAAUGUCCCAAAGUAAAGUAGUGAUAACAAUGCAUAUGUAUUGUGUUUAAAAACGGGAUGCAUGAGUAUAUAGAAAAAGAUAAAUAAUGGAUAGUUAAGCUUUGCAUUAUGGUUACAUGGUUGUCCUAAGUUAGGUGGGAAGUUUAGGUUAAUCAAAAAUUUAAAUUCUAGUCCACUUGACCAAAUACAAUCCUACCUUGCCUCUAACCCCAUUAUAACCCUUGAAAAGUCCUCUUGAUAUGUGUAUCCAUGCAUUGAAUAUAUGUUAACUGGUAGAAGAAGAACAAGCCUUAGAAAACAAGAUUAGAAGAGAAUUGAGAGAAUCGACCCUCAAACACUAAAGAGAUUAGAGUGCAAACACUUCUAGUGAGGGUUUAAUGCUCAAUCCUAUGUUCUCCGCUUUCAUGAGCUCUCAUCUUGCAAGUUUAUUUAUGCUUUAAUUUGAGAUUUAAAUUAGUGAAAUUUGUUGAUCAUCAUACUAUUUUAGCCCUAUGUGUUUAUAUAUGUUCUUGGAGAUUGAUUUAUUUUUAAUUUAAUCAAGUGAGUAGAAGCAUUUUGCAUUAGUUGCAUUCAUAUAGAUAGGUUACAUUUCAUAAGUCUUACCAUUCCCUUUAUUCUUUUGGUCUUCUAAUUUUUAGUACGAGGAUAUGCUAAUAUUUAAGUGUGGGAAGAUUGAUAAACCACAAUUUUAUGGUUUAUUUUGGAUUGAAUUGAGUGGAUUUUAUCAACUCUUUUCACACUUAUUCAUAUAAAUUGCAUAAUUUUAUGAUUUCUUCCUAAUUAUGCUUUAUAGUUGAAGACAUGCUUCUAAGGCCUUAAAGAUGAUAAUUUUUAAUUCUCUUAUAUUACCAUUCGAUGCCGUGAUGCGUUUGCUAAGUGAUUUCAGGGUCUAUAGGGUAAGAAUGACUUAGAGGAUAAGUAUGCAAAAGUGGAAGGAAUACGAAGAAUUGAAGUUUUGAGAAUCUGGUGCUUGUGUGUACGCUUGGCUCACGCGUAUGAGUGACUUGUGCAAAGUUCGACUGGCGCGUACGCGUGACAUGUAACGCGUGGUUUCCUUAAAAUUGCACGUGCCAGCGAUUUUUCUAGACCUCAAAUCAAGCUAAUUCUGAAUGGAAAAAGACCAAAAGUUGAAGGGAGAAUGGAGGCAACCAAGCAUACACACAUUUACUUACUUUUUAGCUAAUUUUUGUUCAUAGAUUUCUAGAGAGAGAAACUCUUCUUUCUCUAUAGGGUUUAGUGCACUUUAAUUACAUUUUGUCUCAUUACUCAUUUGGAUCUUAUUAGACUUUCAUUUUGUUGCUUGAAUUGUAGUUUCUAUAGCUUAAUUUCAUUUGGAACCUUGUUGACUAUUCUCUUUUA